rnacentral:rRNA from 1 species
AUGGCCAAGCCGGCUCCGACUAAGAACGCCGGCGACGCAGCAACGGCGGUGGUGCCAGUGCCGAGUCCGUUCGAGUACCAUGUCUAUGGCCCCCGCAAGCUGUCCUUCACCAGCUGGAGAGAUCUUCUUAGCUCAAGCUGGAAGAACCCCAACUACCGGCGGAUGGUGAUCGCGUGCUUCAUCCAGGGGGCGUACCUGCUGGAGCUGGACCGGCAGGAGAAGCGCGACGAGCGCACCGGCCUCGCGCCGCAGUGGUGGCGCCCGUUCAAGUACAGGCUGGUCCAGGCGCUCGUCGACGAGCGCGACGGCUCCAUCUACGGCGCCGUCCUCGAGUGGGACCGCCAGGCCGCGCUCUCGGACUACAUCCCGUUCCGCCCCACCAGCGCGCCCGCCGCCGUCGUGGCGCUGCGCGGCACGCUGCUCAAGGCGCCCACGUUCCGCCGCGACGUCGUCGACGACCUCCGCUUCCUGGCCUGGGACAGCCUCAAGGGCUCCGUCCGCUUCGCCGGCGCGCUGGCGGCGCUGCGGGCGGCCGCGCGCAAGUUCGGCGUGGCCAACGUGUGCGUGGGCGGGCACUCGCUGGGCGCCGGGUUCGCGCUGCAGGUGGGCAAGGCGCUGGCCAAGGAGGGCGUCUUCGUGGAGUGCCACGUGUUCAACCCGCCGUCCGUGUCGCUGGCCAUGAGCCUCAAGGGCUUCGCCGAGACGGCCGGCGAGCUGUGGGGCCGCGUGCGCGCUUGGAUACCCUACAUGGGCACCCAAGCCGGGGACGCCGGCGGCGGCGGCAACAGCGAGAGCGAGGCCAAGGCGUCGCUGGCCCGCGCCGGGAUGGCCAAGUGGCUGCCGCACCUCUACAUCAACACCAACGACUACAUCUGCUGCUACUACAGCGACGCCGCGAGCGGCACGGCCACGGUGGCCGUCGGCAGCGGGGGCGGGAGCGGCACUAGCAAGGCCGGCGUGGCGAGGAUGGUGGUUGUUUCCAAGGGGCCGAGCAAGUUCCUGGCCGCGCACGGGCUGGAGCAGUGGUGGGCUGACGAUGUCGAGCUGCAGGUGGCGCUCAACCACAGCAAACUCGUCGACCGCCAGCUCAGGUCGCUCUACGCCCCGCCACCGGCCGCACCGGGCGCUCGGAGUUAG